AAGCCAGAAUAUAUGACUAUUGAUCAAAAUCUCCCACAACGGUCGUCGGAGACACCUUUGUGUGUCAGCUUAAUGGUCCAAUAUUUCUGAUGGUU
rnacentral:snoRNA from 1 species